AGUGAACGCUGGCGGUAGGCCUAACACAUGCAAGUCGAACGGCAGCACAGUAAGAGCUUGCUCUUACGGGUGGCGAGUGGCGGACGGGUGAGGAAUACAUCGGAAUCUACUUUUUCGUGGGGGAUAACGUAGGGAAACUUACGCUAAUACCGCAUACGACCUACGGGUGAAAGCAGGGGAUCUUCGGACCUUGCGCGAUUGAAUGAGCCGAUGUCGGAUUAGCUAGUUGGCGGGGUAAAGGCCCACCAAGGCGACGAUCCGGAGCUGGUCUGAGAGGAUGAUCAGCAACACUGGAACUGAGAAACGGUCCAGACUCCUACGGAAGGCAGCAGUGGGGAAUAUUGGACAAUGGGCGCAAGCCUGAUCCAGCAAUACCGCGUGGGUGAAGAAGGCCUUCGGGUUGUAAAGCCCUUUUGUUGGGAAAGAAAAGCAGCAGGUUAAUACCCCGCUGUUCUGACGGUACCCAAAGAAUAAGCACCGGCUAACUUCGU
rnacentral:rRNA from 1 species